rnacentral:rRNA from 1 species
CUACGAAGGUCCCAAGCGUUAUUCGGAAUCACUGGGCGUAAAGAGUACAUAGGCGGUUUGGUAAGUCAGGUGUGAAAUCCCGGAGCUCAACUCCGGAACUGCAUCCGAUACUGCCAGACUUGAGUAAUGGAGAGGCAGGUGGAAUUCUCGGUGUAGCAGUGAAAUGCGUGGAUAUCGAGAGGAAGACCAAUGGCGAAGGCAGCCUGCUGGACAUUUACUGACGCUGAGGUACGAAGGCUAGGGGAGCGAAAGGGAUUAGAUACCCCAGUAGUCC